AACCCUUGUGGAGGAGGACGCCGAAGGUGGGGCUAAUGACUGGGGUGAAGUCGUAACAAGGUAGCCGUACCGGAAGGUGCGGCUGGAUCACCUCCUAACAGGGAGACAACAAAAUGUUUAAUAUUAUUAUUUUGUCACCUUAGGUCGAUCGGUAUCUCACGUUUUUAAUUUAUUAAGAAUUUCAUUUCCUAAGUUUUUCUAGGUCACACCCAUUAUUUUUCCUGGGCCAUUAGCUCAGGUGGUUAGAGCGCACCCCUGAUAAGGGUGAGGUCCCUGGUUCAAGUCCAGGAUGGCCCAUAUCUCUAUGUUGGGGGUAUAGCUCAGUUGGUAGAGCGCCUGCUUUGCAAGCAGGAUGUCAGCGGUUCGAGUCCGCUUACCUCCACUGAUUACCACCUCUUCCAUAACCGGUACAAAGGAAAUUUUUUGAGUUGUGAUCAAAUUCUGAAAGAAUCUAGCUUCCUAAUGAAAUCAUUAAGAUGCUGGACUCAUUGAAUUAAUUUCAUUGUUUUCAGAGAACCUUGACAACUGCAUAGAUUAUUUUUAAAGACAAUAAGCAUCUUUAAUGAUGCAGAUUUAUUAUUUGUGCGAAUGCAUUAAUAACAAUUCUAUUGAGCUGAUGCUUCAAUUUUUGAAGUUAUUGGUCAAGCUACAAAGGGCUCACGGAGGAUACCUAGGCACACA
rnacentral:misc_RNA from 1 species